AUCUUUCAAAAAAAAAAAAAAAGCAUGCAGCUUAGGCAACUUCCUUUUUUUAUUUCAUUUAUGCUAAUUUUGACAUUAGCCACUCCCCAAAUUAUCCCCUCUAACACCACUUCUCCUCCGCCCACAAACACCACAUCUCCGCCAACCACGACGAUCACUAAAGCUGCGAUCAUUACAAAAGCAGGAUGUCCGAAAAAGUGUGGGAACCUAACAGUUCCAUACCCUUUUGGGAUUGGCUUAGGAUCUGGUUGUGCCUUGGACCCGAAUUUUGAAAUCAAUUGUGAUACUAAUACAACAGAUUCUCCAACACCAUACAUAGGGAAUAUUCCAGUGUAUGACAUCUCUGAUGCUGAAAUGCGCGUAUCGACUAACAUAAAUCGGAGGUGUUAUUCAUCGACGGGCAUGUUGCUUCGAAAUGAUCCUUCUUGGAUGAAUUUAGGAACCUCGAGUCCUUACAGUUUCUCUACCCUCAACAGGUUCACCGUUGUUGGUUGUGAUGAAGCUGCUAUAAUAUUUGGAGGUGACUUUGCUAAUGGCUGCCCCACGGUCUGUAUUAGUACGAGUCAGGUAACUGAAGGAAGGUGUAUGGGUAAUGGUUGCUGCCAAAUAACAAUACCAAAAGGCAUGAAAAUUUUCAACACAACGAUGCAAAGUUUGAAAAAUCACACUGGAGUUUGGUCUUUCAAUCCAUGUGGCUAUUCAUUUCUUGGUGAAGCUACUCGAUUCGAAUUCAUGGGUUUACAAGAUCUACGCGAUCUUAAUUUUAAAAAGAGGUCUUUGGAUAAUGUCCCUAUUGUGUUAGAUUGGGCUAUUGGAACUCUUAGUUGUGUUGAAGCACAGAAGAGUAGUAACGAUUAUGCUUGUUUGAAUAAUAGCCAAUGUGUUGAUUCCAACACUGGCCUUGGUGGUUAUAGGUGUGCCUGUAACCCGGGAUAUGAAGGCAAUCCAUAUAUCGGUCCAGGUUGUCAAGAUAUUGAUGAAUGUGCGAAUCCAAAUACCAAUUCGUGUGAACAAAAUUGUAUAAACAUACCGGGGAGUUACAAUUGUUCAUGUCCAAAAGGGUACACCGGUGAUGGAAGAAAGAAUGGUCGUGGUUGUACUGCACCAAACUCGAACUCAGAGUUCCCAUGGAUUAAGUUUUCCGUUGGUAUGGGAGUUGGUUUUAUGUCCCUAGUAGUUGGGACAACUUGGCUCUAUUUCAGCAUCAAGAAAAGAAAACUCAUUAAACUUCGCGAGAAAUUCUUCCAACAAAAUGGUGGUUUGCUGUUGAAACAACGAAUAUCUUCUAACGAGGGUGGUGUGGAAGCAACCAAAGUUUUUACAGUAGAAGAGUUGAAGAAGGCUACAAACAACUAUGCUAGUGAUAGAAUUCUUGGUCGUGGUGGAAAUGGAAUUGUCUAUAAAGGUAUACUACCCGAUAAUCUCAUAGUUGCUAUUAAAAAGUCUAAGUUUGUGAACGAGGAUCAAAUUGAACAGUUCAUCAAUGAGGUUCUUAUUCUUACUCAAGUCAACCAUAGAAACGUGGUGAGACUCUUUGGAUGUUGUUUGGAAGCUGAAGUUCCUUUACUAGUUUACGAAUACAUUUCUAACGGUACUCUUUACGAGCAUAUCCACAACCAAAAUGGAGCACCUUGGUUAUCAUGGAAGAAUCGGCUAAGAGUUGCUAGUGAGACAGCAAGUGCACUUGCUUACCUCUUCAUUCAUCCGCGUCAAUGCCUAUAAUUCAUAGAGAUGUCAAGUCUGCCAAUUUAUUGUUAGAUGAUGUUUACACUGCGAAAGUGGCAGAUUUUGGAGCUUCAAGACUAAUUCCUCUUGAUCAAACGCAUAUUGCUACAUUGGUUCAAGGGACAUUAGGAUACCUAGAUCCUGAAUAUUUUCGUUUAAGUAAAUUGACCGAGAAAAGUGAUGUUUAUAGUUUUGGAGUAGUCCUUGCAGAACUUUUAACAGGGAUAAAACCUAUUUCAAGGGAUAAAAAUAAUGAGGACAAGAAUUUGGCAGAGUACUUCAUUUUGUCCAUGAGAAAGAAUCAAUUGUUUCAAAUUCUUGAUCGUAGAGUGGUAAGAGAAGGAAGCCUUGAACAACUCCAAAAGGUGGCUGAGCUAGUGAAAAAUUGUCUUAGAUUGCACGGUGAACAUAGGCCUACGAUGAAAGAAGUAGCAAUGGAACUUGAGAGUUUGCGAAAGUUCACAAAAAAUAACCCUUGGGCUGAUGGACACGGACAUGAAGAGAACGAAGAUGAAUCAACAGAUCUUUAUACAAUUCCAAUUGACUCGAAUACAGGUAUCAACAAAUUCUCUGGACAAUACAGUUCCAACUCCAACACAAAUAGCAGCAUGUUUUCUUCAUUGAUAUAUACUAGUACAAAUAUUCCGCGGUGA